GCAGCCUGAAGUCCAUCCGGGCUCUCUGAUACUAGUGCGAGGUCAUCCGCGUACAUUAAACAACUAAGAGGUUUAUCCCUAAGGUGAACAGGGUUGUAUUUUUCAUUGUUGCUGAACAGGUCGGGAAUGUCCCUAAUAAAAAUGUUAAACAGUAAGGGACUGAGGACGCAGCCCUGUUUGACACCUACACUUGUAUUGAUGACGUUUGUCAGUCCCCCUGGUGUUUUUACAGUAAACUGGACAGAUUUAUACAUAUUACUUAUUAUAUUUAGAAAGAGAUUUCCUACCCCUGCCAGCUGUAGUUUAUAUAAUAAGGCAUUUCUCCAUACUGUAUCGUAGGCGCUUGAAAAAUCUACGAAACAUACAUAUAGUUUAUUUUUAUCCAUUUUAUUUAGGUAUUUAUCGAUGAGAGAUUUGAGUACUAGCAUAUGGUCGACUGUACGUGCCCCUCUUUUAAAGCCGAUUUGAUUAGUAGGGAUCGUGCUAUUUUUAAAAGUAAAUGAUGUGAGUCUAUUAUUAAGUAUUUUGCAAAAUAGUUUACAUAAGUUACUGGAUACAGCUAUCCCUCUAUAAUUUUUGGGGUCUUUUUUAUCCCCUUUCUUGUGAAUAACAUUGAGCAUACUCACUCUCCAGAGGGAGGGGAAGUUACCACUGGAGAAGAUAGCAUUGAACAGUUUAGUGA